CUUGCAGUUCAGUGCUAACUCAGUUCGCCCCGUUAGUCCCGUCAACCUGCUACUCCUGAAAGACAAACAGCAACUACUAUAAACAAAUAACAAAUGACGAGUCUGCUAAACAAUAUCUACUUUUGGUUGAAGCUGCUCAGGGUGUGGACAUUGACGUGCAUCACAUGACAUGAGGGUCAUAGGUGAAGUUCAGUCUCCUUAUAGCCAUGAAGAACAUGGGUUUCCAGAAGUAUUCCUUCCUUGAAUACAACCCUGGGUUACUGUCUGAACUAAAGGUGUAUGACAUACCAUGGAUCACGAGAGACAGUACUCCAUGUGGUGUCAUGUGAGAACAUCAGCUUUCAGAGUGUAACAAGACAAAGCCCGGAAGCAGCGGCUGUGCAGCCGUAACCUCUGUGGAGAUCACGGUGUUGCUGUGUGAAGUGUCAGUUAAAGCCAAUCAUGACUGCUGAAGUGGAGCUUGGUUACCCUGAUGGCAACCAGGACCUGGCCCAGUUCUUUGAGGAGAUCCCCCAAAUGCAAAGACUGAUGUGUCACAUCCUGCAGGAUGUAAAGCCCGUCCUCAGACUGACGACCAGCAACCACAACACACCAGCGACCAUCAGCGACCAUCAAAGGAUUCAUGCUGCGCUCCUGCAGGUGGUGGCCAGCAGCAGUCGACUGGAGCGGAAGUUGGAUCACUGCCUUUGGACCCAGAAGGUUUUUAGUGUCCUGGUGAUGGGCCUGAUAGCUUUGUGGGGCUUCACUCUGUUCAUCCACUAUUCAACCGGCCAUUUUCACUGGACCACAGCUAAAAACUAAAACACUGGUGCUCACAAUGUUGAUUUAAAAUGGAUUUUUCUUUAAUGUUAAACAUUAAUUUUGAAGAUCAGUGUAGAAAUACAGUGAAAUAAACACUCCAACAGCAAAUGCACAGGAAAAAACAACAGCAAAAGACAUGACACAUUGACACAGUUAACCUAGUCAUGCAUUCAUUC